rnacentral:siRNA from 1 species
AGAAGAAUCAAGUGUCGUUAGCUC